rnacentral:rRNA from 1 species
GAUGAACGCUGGCGGCGUGCCUAAUACAUGCAAGUCGAGCGAACGGACGAGAAGCUUGCUUUUCUGAUGUUAGCGGCGGACGGGUGAGUAACACGUGGAUAACCUACCUAUAAGACUGGGAUAAAUUCGGGAAACCGGAGCUAAUACCGGAUAAUAUUUUGAACCGCAUGGUUCAAAAGUGAAAGACGGUCUUGCUGUCACUUAUAGAUGGAUCCGCGCUGCAUUAGCUAGUUGGUAAGGUAACGGCUUACCAAGGCAACGAUGCAUAGCCGACCUGAGAGGGUGAUCAGCCACACUGGAACUGAGACACGGUCCAGACUCCUACGGGAGGCAGCAGUAGGGAAUCUUCCGCAAUGGGCGAAAGCCUGACGGAGCAACGCCGCGUGAGUGAUGAAGGUCUUCGGAUCGUAAAACUCUGUUAUUAGGGAAGAACAGAUGUGUAAGUAACUGUGCACAUCUUGACGGUACCUAAUCAGAAAGCCACGGCUAACUACGUG